UACGUAGGGGGCAAGCGUUGUCCGGAUUUAUUGGGCGUAAAGCGCUCGCAGGUGGUUCGUUGCGUCGUGCGUGAAAGACCCUGGCGUCAACUGGGGGGUGUCGUGCGAUACGGGCGGACUGGAGGCCAGUAGGGGAUGCGGAAUUCGGGUGUAGUGGUGGAAUGCGUAGAGAUCCGGAGGAACACCAGCGGCGAAGGCGGCAUCCUGGGCCAGCACUGACGCUCAUGCACGAAAGCGUGGGGAGCAAACAGG
rnacentral:rRNA from 1 species